rnacentral:rRNA from 1 species
AUGCAGGGCGCCGCCGCCGCCGCCGAGGGGAGGAGCAGGGCUUCGCCGGACAAGGCCGACGAGGAGAGCGCCAAGAAGCCGCGCCUGGACCUGCCCGACGCCCACUCCGUGAAGCAAGAGCUCGUCGCUCCAGAUGCGGCCGAAGGAGGAGACCCAGGGGGCAUCGUCGCGGCGGCGGCGCCGUACAGCCCGAGAGAGGAGCUCGCCGUGAGGAUCGACAAGCGCCUGCUCCACUGCCCCCUCUGCACCCUCCCCUUCAAGCCCCCCGUCUUCCAGUGCAAGGCGGGGCACCUGGCCUGCGGCGGCUGCGUCGCCCAGCUGCCCUGCGGCCAGUGCAAGGCGUGCGUGGACGGCGCCGGCUUCUUCGACCCCUGCCCCGCGCUGGACGCCGUCGUGUCCUCCACCAGGAUCGAGUGCCCCAACGCCGGCUGCCCGAGGUACGUCACCUACCACGAGGUCGCCGAGCACCAGACCGCGUGCGCGCACGCGCCCUGCCGCUGCACGGAGCCCGGCUGCGGCUACGUCGGCGCGCCGCAGGCGCUCGCCGGCCACCUCCACACCGUCCACUCGGUGCCGGUGCGCGCCGUGCAGUACGGCAAGGCCAGCCAGCUCCGCGUGCCGGUGUCGGCGCCGCGGCUGGUGCUCCUCGGCGACGACGACAACCGCGUGUUCCUCCUCACCGUGGGCGCGCUCGGCGCCGGCGUGACCGCCGUGUCCGUGGUGUGCGCCAGGGCGAGCGCGGCGACGCGGCCCCGGUUCGCGUGCAAGAUGUGGGUCAACCUGGAGGCAGCGGCGGCGAACGGCGGCAAGGAGGACAUGGUGCUGGUGGACAUGCACAUGAGCAGCAGCUCGUCGCCCGGCGCGGUGGUCGCCGCGGGCGAGCCGACGUUCCUGAUGGUGCCGCCAAUGUACCUGGUGCCAGCAGCAGCAGCAGGGGACGGGGCUGCGUCCAUGGAAGUUCCCCUGCACAUCCGCAUCGACAAGCUCUCUCCUUGGUCCGACGCAUUGGUUUGA